GACGAACGCUGGCGGCGUGCCUAAUACAUGCAAGUCGAGCGAAGUUUUUCUGGUGCUUGCACUAGAAAAACUUAGCGGCGAACGGGUGAGUAACACGUAAAGAACCUGCCUCAUAGACUGGGACAACUAUUGGAAACGAUAGCUAAUACCGGAUAACAGUAUUUCUCGCAUGUGAGAUAUUUAAAAGUUGGUUAUGCUAACACUAUGAGAUGGCUUUGCGGUGCAUUAGCUAGUUGGUGGGGUAAAGGCCCACCAAGGCGACGAUGCAUAGCCGACCUGAGGGGGUGAUCGGCCACACUGGGACUGAGACACGGCCCAGACUCCUACGGGAGGCAGCAGUAGGGAAUCUUCCGCAAUGGGCGAAAGCCUGACGGAGCAACGCCGCGUGAGUGAAGAAGGAUUUCGGCUCGUAAAGCUCUGUUGUUAGGGAAGAAUGGAUAUGUAGUAACUAUACAUGUAAGAGACGGUACCUAACCAGAAAGCCACGGCUAACUACGUG
rnacentral:rRNA from 1 species